CACAAAGUCAGUUCUCAUAUGAAUGAGCUCCAUGGGAUUCCUAUCUGGGGUAUAGUGCAGUCAGGUAUGACUACCGAAUACCGGGCCGUUCGUGUACUUCCACCGAACAAGAAGGGAGGUCGGCGGCUUCAGCGGUGUUCGCAACAAACUGUGUCCGUUUUUAGUUCCAUGAGUUAGGCGUCGAACACCGCUGUGCGUUCGUGUGUUUAAAAUGGCCACGACCUCGUGUUCGGUAUACGAAUGGCGGCCACCCAGUAUUCGUCAAUUAAGCUGCGGUUAACCGCAGCUUCUGGGAGGCUAAUUGCCGGCACACUCCAGCUCCUAGGUGUUCUUGUCAUUCGUGCGGUUGUUCGGUAGAUUGAAUCUACUGAACACCGGGCAGAAAAGCACAAAUAAGUCUUUUAGCAUGGGGCCAUAAUCCAAAGGCAGCAGGCGAGUGUGACGAAGUGCCCUUCGCCACUUGGUACUGGAGAGGCCUGCUUG